rnacentral:misc_RNA from 1 species
CAUUGUUUUUUUUCUUUUUUGAGCUGCUUCACUGUAGCUUCCAAAAACUCUGCUCUAACGCAUGUUAUAAUGUAAGAGUACCUAUAGUCUCUGUUGUUGAUCAACUAGUUAGUGAGGUAUAUUCUAAUGUGUCUAAGUUCCUGCCUGAAUUCCAUUGUUUAUCACUUGAAAGCUUUUCUUGCUUGUGCAUUUCAGGCCAUAAUACAAGCUUUAAGGGA